UACGGAGGGUGCAAGCAUUAAUCGGAUUUAUUGGGCGUAAAGGGCGCGUAGGCGGACAGAAAAGUCAGAUGUGAAAUCCUGGGGCUCAACCUCAGAACAGCAUAUGAAACUUUCUAUCUCAGAGGGUAGGCGGAGAAAAUGGAAUUCCACAAGUAGCGGUGAAAUGCGUAGAUAUGUGGAAGAACACCAGUGGCGAAGGCGGUUUUCUAGCUUAUACCUGACGCUGAGGCGCGAAAGCAAGGGGAUCAAACAGG
rnacentral:rRNA from 1 species